GCGUGAAGCGCCUCAACCCCGCUGUCUAACCCGGAGAGCAGCUGUUCGUGGUCGUAUAGGCUCUUCCCUUGCGUUUGAAGGGCGGAGCGCAUUGCGCUGUCCUCUGCUGAGUCCAUCAGAUUGUAGUGUCACGUUUCACGUCUGGAUGAGGACUCAAAUGGAGAGAUUUGACACUGGAGACUAGAUUUAACUUGAAAAAAAAGGUUCAUUGGUGAACAAAAGGAAACUCAAAACAACACGAAAGCGCAAAAUCCACAAAAAAGGGCAGUCACAGUCAUUAACAAAAUACAGGGAAUUUUCACAGACACAUGAGGCUAACGAGACGUUACAAGUUGUACAACUUAUUUAUUAACUUACACAGCUGAUGACAGCAUGUUUUUCAAUAAGUUCCAUGUUCUUUUAUUCCAACGUAAUAGUUCCGGAAUCAAAAAAAAAAUGUGUGAGGGAACAGACGAGUAUGAUUCACUCAAAUUACACACCUUGAGUGCAGAAGGCUAUAGAGAGAGAGGGAAAUCUCGUUUUCAGCUAUUGUUUUCUGAAGAAUUUUCAAGUUUUAACAGCCUGUGGCCGCAUGUUGUUUUCAGGUAAAUAUCAGAUGGUCUAAAAAUGUAAUCAGAAUAUCCACUCCUUCAGGAUUACAUUUGUGAUGAGGAUCGUUCGAUGACGAAAUUCAGAGAGGCCAUGUCCAGACUUACCAUAACCAUAAGUGGACCAAUGAACCACCCGUCCAGGAGCUCCCCUGAGCCCAUGGUCAUUGAUGGUGGGCCUCUGUCUAAGACACAGGAAAAAAUACCAGAGGCCAAAAAGAAGGAGGCUCCCUUUGUAAAAAGGGAUGAAACCGGUGACUCUGGGGCCACUGGAGGAGGAUCCACCCAGACAUCACUGAAAAUUAAGCAAAGACGUGCCUAUAAAAGAACAUUCAAGGAUGUUAAUCCAGCCGGUAUUAGACGGACUCACAGCUCUGGCCCUGAAAAAAAGAGGAGACGAGUGACAAAAAACAUUACGAGAGAUAGGGGAGACAAGGCGGUGCAGGUUUCAGAGGAACCCAGACACACAGGACACCCUCUUCACCAUGUGAUGAAGACCUGGAUGAAAAGGACUCCUAGAGUGUGUUUGUCACAGAAAUGGGGAGAAAGUGGACUAAACAAGAACAGCAGCCGGCUCAAUGUCACUUCACACCUUUUCAAUGAAGAGAGCGAAGUGGACGGAGAAACCAGAACAACCAUCACUGAGUGAAACAUUGCUGGUUCCCUUCCUGUGUUUGUAUUCAUCAACUGCCUGUCUGCAUUUUAUUUGGGCCUAUCUUAUUGUAUAUUGUUACAUAAAAUGUAUUGCAUAAUACUAUAUCAUAAUGUAUACUAAUUAAGUGCUACUAUAUUGUUUUGCAUUGUAUUAAUGGUAUACUAUCAUUACAUUAUUAUUACAUUGUGUUAUAUUGUUAUUAAAUACCAUAAGUUCAUAUUGCCUUACCUAAAGUGUCUUCCUAUCUCACAGUUCAUUUAAAUCUAAAGAUGCCUCUCUGCAAUUUUAGUAUAUGUAUAAUGUGAAUUAUCUCUAAUCAAACCCACUCACACAACAGUAACAAGUUUUCUUAUUGACCUGAACAUAAAGGGCCUCUCACCCCUCCCUUCAUAAGAUCAACUCUAUGCUUUAAUGAUUUGUCAGAAACAAUCAUUGUGGUGUAUAAAUAUAUCAAAGUGUAAGAUGCUAAAUUAAACCUGUGGGCAAUGUGUGCAUAACUGGCAUAAAUGUAUGCAACUGCAUAUUUAGCUGCAUCUUCAUGAUUAUUUUGAAUUGAAUGGAUUUCAUUAUUUUACUUGGCUGGAUUUUUUGGUAAGGAAAUAACAGAUGGAAGGGAGGUAUCUUGCGGCCAGAU
ensembl:lncRNA